rnacentral:rRNA from 1 species
GAUGAACGCUGGCGGCGUGCCUAAUACAUGCAAGUCGAGCGAACAGACGAGGAGCAUGCUCCUCUGACGUUAGCGGCGGACGGGUGAGUAACACGUGGAUAACCUACCUAUAAGACUGGGAUAACUUCGGGAAACCGGAGCUAAUACCGGAUAAUAUAUUGAACCGCAUGGUUCAAUAGUGAAAGACGGUUUUGCUGUCACUUAUAGAUGGAUCCGCGCCGCAUUAGCUAGUUGGUAAGGUAACGGCUUACCAAGGCAACGAUGCGUAGCCGACCUGAGAGGGUGAUCGGCCACACUGGAACUGAGACACGGUCCAGACUCCUACGGGAGGCAGCAGUAGGGAAUCUUCCGCAAUGGGCGAAAGCCUGACGGAGCAACGCCGCGUGAGUGAUGAAGGUCUUCGGAUCGUAAAACUCUGUUAUUAGGGAAGAACAAAUGUGUAAGUAACUAUGCACGUCUUGACGGUACCUAAUCAGAAAGCCACGGCUAACUACGUG